UACGGAAGGCAGCAGUGGGGAAUAUUGCACAAUGGGCGCAAGCCUGAUGCAGCCAUGCCGCGUGUAUGAAGAAGGCCUUCGGGUUGUAAAGUACUUUCAGUCGUGAGGAAGGUGUUAAGGUUAAUAACCUUAGCAAUUGACGUUAGCGACAGAAGAAGCACCGGCUAACUCCGUGCCAGCAGCCGCGGUAAUACGGAGGGUGCGAGCGUUAAUCGGAAUUACUGGGCGUAAAGGGCACGCAGGCGGUUAAUUAAGUUGGAUGUGAAAUCCCCGGGCUUAACCUGGGAAUGGCAUUCAAGACUGGUUAGCUAGAGUCUUGUAGAGGGGGUAGAAUUCCAUGUGUAGCGGUGAAAUGCGUAGAGAUGUGGAGGAAUACCGGUGGCGAAGGCGGCCCCUGGACAAAGACUGACGCUCAUGUGCGAAAGACGUGGGGAGCAAAC
rnacentral:rRNA from 1 species